GAAUUGAUGUCAAUUUUGAUACAAGUGUCAUCUUCAUAUGCAUUAUAUUCUUUGAAUUAUUAUCAACAAAUUUAGCAUUGGACUAAUAUUUUAAAGCUUAUCGCAUGCGCAUGUUUGGAUAAUUCAGUGCCAAAUUGAUGUGUCCUUAAAAUUCGGCUAUAACAGAAAUUGCUCUAAUCCUAACUGUAUGCAGUGAACUCUCGUUGCACUUAAUCACAUUACCAAUAAUUCCCGUGACUUGAUUGACAUCUGGAGAAAACAAUAAGGACCAAGUUUUAUUUUUUACAGUAAAAUCCGGAUUUGUCAGCAAAGGAAAAACCAUGGGUAUAAUCCUAGGAAUAUUUAAUCCUGAAUUAUCAGACUUCCAGAAGAAGAAAUUGAAGCAUGAAUUCCACGUCUUCUUUGGUAUGUCUUAUUUACAAUUCUAACGAUAACGCACUAUUUAAUGCAUUACUGCCUACUAAAAGUGCACUUACUUGUAUGUGCAUGCGCAAGCAAGGUGAUCUGCAUGUUUGAUAGAACGUCGUGCAAAACAUCACAUCAUCUUUAAGCUGUUCUAGUUUACUAUUGUUCUAAAUAGACUCUGUAGUUAUAAUUAAAAAAAAUGUACAACGCAAUAUCUUAAAUAAACUCAUCAUAGAUAUACCAGGACUCAAUGCAGUAUAUAUGCCAGACGCGCGUUUCGUCCACAAAAGACUCAUCAGUGACGCUCGAAUCCAAAAAAGUUAAAAAGGCCAAAUAAAGUACGAAGUUGAAGAGCAUUGAGGACCAAC
rnacentral:lncRNA from 1 species